UAAUACGAAGGGGGCUAGCGUUGUUCGGAAUUACUGGGCGUAAAGCGCACGUAGGCGGGUCGUUAAGUCAGGGGUGAAAUCCCGGAGCUCAACUCCGGAACUGCCUUUGAUACUGGCGAUCUUGAGAUCGGAAGAGGUGAGUGGAAUUCCCAGUGUAGAGGUGAAAUUCGUAGAUAUUGGGAAGAACACCAGUGGCGAAGGCGGCUCACUGGUCCGAUACUGACGCUGAGGUGCGAAAGUGUGGGGAGCAAACAGGAUUAGAUACCCUGGUAGUCCACGCCGUAAACUAUGGAAGCUAGCCGUCAGUCAGCUUGCUGAGUGGUGGCGCAGCUAACGCAUUAAGCUUCCCGCCUGGGGAGUACGGUCGCAAGAUUAAAACUCAAAGGAAUUGACGGGGGCCCGCACAAGCGGUGGAGCAUGUGGUUUAAUUCGAUGCAACGCGAAGAACCUUACCUAGCCUUGACAUGCAAGUAGUAGAAGUGUGAAAGCACGACGAGGUAGCAAUA
rnacentral:rRNA from 1 species